ACAAGUUAAGCAAACAAUUGAGCCAUUUAAAAAGUUUGGUUUCCCGCCACCCAGAUGCGGUCACAGUAGUUACAGGAAUUGUAGGUUGUGCAGGACUGACGCCUACAGUGGUUGCAAUAGAAGCAGGGAAAGCCAUCGCAUUAGCCAAUAAAGAGACCCUGAUUGCUGGAGGCCCUAUUGUUCUUCCUCUUGCCCACAAGCAUAAUGUAAAAAUUCUUCCUGCUGAUUGAGAACAUUCUGCAAUUUUUCAGUGAUGCAGAAUGGUUGGUGUUGGAGUUGGAAAUAAGUCAGCAUUCGUAUAGAUUAUUCUUUCCCUUCCUUGCACCAGAAAGUAAGUAUUAUUCCAUGAAGCUGAAAAGGAAUCAGUGGCUAACAAAGUCAGUGGCAAUCGAUCAAAGAAUGAUAUUGAUCCUUGGUGGUUGAAUCUUCCUUAUGCUCUGGGUCCUUUGGUACAAAAGAGUUUCAACAGCUGGGCAGUUACAACAGUCGUUGAGUACUUCCAUCUGCUUCCUUAUGCUGCGAUUUUGUGAGACUGAUAUCCCAGGACCCUGAGGUUGAGUAGGCUCAGGAGGAGGAGGAGGAGGAGAAGACUCUCUAGGCUCUCGAAUGUAUGAGCCACCUUCAUAAACCGGGGUUGGCACAUUCCUUACGGCCUCAACAUUAUACAAUAACUCAGUCUCAAGCCAUGUAGGAUCUUCCGGAAGAACGGGAUCUUCUAUCUCUGUUAUCCAUUCAUCAUCGAAGGCAAUUUCUUCUACAACAAUAGGAUCAUACUUCUCCAUCCUUUUCUUACUUCUUUGUUGUAAAGCCAAAUUGUACUUGACAUAGGCUAAAGCAUUAAGCCUUUUGUGUUCAAGCCUAUUCCUUCUUUUUGUAUGAAUCUACAAAUAAAUCAAUUCUAUUAUUCAAGUCUAAA